AGCAGCCGCGGUAAUUCCAGCUCCAAUAGCGUAUAUUAAAGUUGUUGCAGUUAAAAAGCUCGUAGUUGAAUUUCGGGAUCAAUACGUCGGUCGUGCUUUCGGGUACGUACUGGUGUCAUUGGUUUCUCCUUUCUGGCGAACCAUGAUGUCAUUAAUUUGAUGUUAUGGGGAGUUAGGACUGUUACUUUGAAAAAAUUAGAGUGUUUAAAGCAGGCAUAAGCUUGAAUACAUUAGCAUGGAAUAAUGAAAUAGGACGUUUGAUCCUAUUUUGUUGGUUUCUAGGAUCAACGUAAUGAUUAAUAGGGAUAGUUGGGGGCAUUAGUAUUCAAUUGUCAGAGGUGAAAUUCUUGGAUUUAUUGAAGACUAACUACUGCGAAAGCAUUUGCCAAGGAUGUUCUCAUUAAUCAAGAACGAAAGUUAGGGGAUCGAAGACGAUCAGAUACCGUCGUAGUCUUAACCAUAAACUAUGCCGACUAGGGAUCGGAUGAUGUUAAUUUUUAAUGACUCA
rnacentral:rRNA from 1 species